rnacentral:rRNA from 1 species
UGUGUAUCAGUACAUGGCAUAUCAAUAAGCGGAGGAAAAGGUACCUACGCUUAGGAUGUUGACACACGCGCGUGCUCGACUCUAUACAUGACCCUGUGCAUAUCAAUAAGCGGAGGAAAAGAAACUAACAAGGAUUCCCCUAGUAACGGCGAGUGAAGCGGGAAGAGCUCAAAUUUGAAAUCUUAAAGGGUUUCCCUUUACGAAUUGUAGUUUAAAGAAGUGUUUUCUGUUGGAGUUUCGGUAAAAGUUCUUUGGAAUAGGACAUCAUAGAGGGUGAGAAUCCCGUAUUUGACCAGUUAUUUUCAGCUGUGUGAUACACUUUCAAAGAGUCGGAUUGUUUGGGAAUGCAGUCCAAAAUGGGUGGUAAAUUUCAUCUAAAGCUAAAUAUUGGCGAGAGACCGAUAGCGAACAAGUACCGUGAGGGAAAGAUGAAAAGAACUUUGAAAAGAGAGUUAAACAGUACGUGAAAUUGUCAAAAGGGAAGCGUUUGACACCAGUGUUGUUUUCUCGAAAAUCAAUUAAAAAUGACCGGAUUUUGUGUUGUAUUGACCUUAUAAGCUUUCUUACACUCUUUUCUUGUCUUUUUUAAUGCACUUUUCGUUUAACAAGUCAACAUCAGUUUCUUUUGUUGUAAAAGGGUCAUUGGAAGGUGGCUUUCUUUUCGGAGAAAGUGUUUAUAGCCUUUGAUCUCUGCAACCGGAGAGACUGAGGUCUGCAGCGUAGACUCUUCGGGGUUAGAUACAUUUGUGCUAAGCUAUAGCUUUUUAUAGACAACUUGUUGACUAUAUUUAGUCUUGUGGCUUACUCGCUUAUGCUAUUUUACCUACGCUUAGGAUGUUGACUGAUAUGUAGUCGUA